rnacentral:rRNA from 1 species
UUUUGCUUUUGUUCACAUAACCGUUUUCUAAUAAAUUAUGUUUUUAUCAGAUAUGACAGAAUCUUUUUUAAAAUCUCUUCAAUAUGCUUUUAUUGCUUUUGAGAGGUUUUGUUACUUUGAGUAAAAUUAAGUGUUCAUAACAACGGGUAGUCAUGAUUGAGUUCAUUGUGUAGCAUCSAUGAAGAACGCACCGAAAUGCGAUAAGUAAUGUAAAUUGCACA